GUUCAGGUGCAAGACCAUGGAUACUGAAGACUAUGAGGAGUACAUACCUCUUCUUUUAUGAAGUUCUCGCAGGUCAGCAACAUAAGAGUUCUUGCCUUCUUGGUCAUCUUCUUAGAUAAAUUGUUAUUCCAUCGGCUGAAAGUAUACUUUACUUUUCCAGAAAUCUUUAGUUCUUGUUCUGAACAAAAUCAUCUAUCCUUGAUUGGAAUCUUUAGAUUGCAUAUUUUUCAUCAGGGCAAAAGAGGGCAGGACCUUGUUAAGAAUGACGUCCUAGUGCGCACAAGGUCGAACAUGAAGCUACUUGUGAGUAUUGUUUAAUCCUAUCCAUUAUUUUAUAAAGCAUCAAGAUGUAGUAUAACAUGUAAUGAUCGCAUUGCUGCCAUAUGCCAUAUCUAAGAUUUACCAAGAAAUACUAAAUGAACAUCCUUUUUUAGUCCUUGAUUAGCCAAGUGUUUUGCUUAGUAUUGUCAUGGUAUUUAAAUUAUCAUCAAGUGGACCAGAUUAUGUUGUGGAGCCACUUUAAAAUAUAAAAUGUAUGUUUCAUAGGACUGUAGGAUCUAUUGUAUAGAUAUGCCAAAAGAUGAAGCUUUAAAGAUUUAAGAGGAUAACAAGUCUUAUGGUGAAAGAUGUUGGUCAUCAUCUCCUUAUAAUUUCAAUAUAAUUCCUGUUAAUUGAGUACAUGAGUUUGCAGGGAACACAGAUUCAGCCCCUGUUAGCUUGGAGGAUGGUGCUAUGAGCGACCACAUCGGCAAUGGCAAUAGUGGAGGCAACAAUGAUGGUGAGAACAUGAUAGUAGCCUAAGGUGACUUAGAAACUUAUGAAGAUGUAGGUGAUGCUCCAGAUCAUGAACAGUGGACUUAGAAACACGAGUCUUUUGUUACCAUUGCAUUGCUUUAUGCAAUGUGAUGGAUGAGUAUUUUGAGUGGUGGUGGCAUGUAUGCGUAAAACUGUCAUAUUACUGUUGUUGAGCAAAUAAAACAACAAAAAUUAAACUUUUCAGAUGUCAAAUACCAGGUGUUCAAUCAUGCAUGGAUUAAUGUAUGGGUAUGUGCUAUGUAUAUACUGAUUUUGGAUGCUUGUACGAAGAUAUGAUGUGGAUUUUGGUUUAAUGGGAUCAUACAUGGACCAUUGAUAUUUUCUAAUAAAUUUGUAAUGAUA
rnacentral:lncRNA from 1 species